AUUGUGUAAUACUUUUUUAUUUGUCUGUUGCACAAUCUAUUUGCUGAUACUUGUUUCUUUCCCUCCCUCCCUCUCCCCUAGGCUAUCAAACAAAGCUGCCCAACCUUACACUCAUCCAUCAACCUCGAGUUAUUAAGAGAAUAACUGCAGAACAUUUACAAGUGGAUGGGAUGGAGUCCUGGCUGCUUUUCAAGAACACGGAGUCAGUGCUUUGCAAAAAACUUUGCAAGAUGGCAAAUUUUCUCAUGCUGCCUGUUCCUUGCUCUGCUGGGACCUGCUGGAAGGAAUGGUGUCUUCAGUUUAGGACUAGAGCAGUGACUUUCCAGGCCAAACCAGGAACAGUUGCAAGAUUUUUCUACAGAGGGACCAUUCACAUAAAAUAAAUGCAUUGGGCAUCUGUAAGAAACAGAGCAGACAAUUCUUGAAAGCAAAAACUCUCGGCUGACAUCUUGGCUGGAAUUAAAAGUCCUGUUGUGUGAUGCUGAAAAACUUCAACAACCCUCUGCUGGAAGCUGUUUGGGAGAAAACGAAGUUCUAGUUCUCUUUCUCCCUCCCUCAUUUUUAAGGUGAAUUUAACUGUGUUAGAGGGAGCCAAACUGAGACCAUGAUGAUGGAAUGAUCCAGUGCUUCUCGGAGAUUGCAAACCCCACCUUGCUGUCUGUUGUUGGUGGGCACAAUCCGUCCUCAGACAGAUGGUUUCUGUGGGUCACCAUCAGAGCUGUGAACUCACAACGACGUACCGUCCCGAUCAGAGUGCAUUAAAACCAUGAAACACUUGAACAUAAAACCCAUAAAUCUUGAUUUGCCAUCAUCAGUCCCCUGAAGCAGCUGGUGCUGGCAGAACAGCUCUUUUCAAACGGCAGAGCAGCUGCUCAGCUGGUGUAAAUCAGCACAGGACCUUGUAGAAGGAGGAGUAGAAGUAGAAAAAUAGAAGUAGAAAAACAGUGGUACUGCUUAAAGGUUGUGUUUUCAAGAGAUCAGUGAGUAACUAAAAGUUUAACAUGCCCGCUGGGAAGGGUAUAAAAGAAGAGUCUAAUUUGCAGAAAAGAAGAUUUAAAUUAUAUCUGGAAAAAAAAGAAAAAAAGAUAUUUAGUGGCUUAGCACCAGGCAGGCGACGUUGCAGAUCUUCACUGGAGGUUUGUAAGAACUGAAUAAUUAGACCAACAUGUGUCACACAUGGGUGGAUCCUGUUCUGGUGAAGUGGAUGGGUUCUGGAGAUCUCUUCAGCGCUUGCACAGCAUGGAGCAAUGGACCUCGCCGUUGACACUGGUACGGGAUUAGCAAAACACCUUUGGCUCCUGGCUUUGGGAUCAAGAGGGGCCAGAAGAUUUGCAGGUCGCUUCCAUCCCAUGUGUUAACCUUCGUCUUACUCAGCCAAAGCUG
rnacentral:lncRNA from 1 species